GCCUCCCAUUUACGCUGAGAGAACAUUUGUGAGACCCAAAUUGUCUUGA
rnacentral:tRNA from 1 species